rnacentral:rRNA from 1 species
CCUACGGGUGGCUGCAGUGGGGAAUAUUGGGCAAUGGGCGCAAGCCUGACCCAGCAACGCCGCGUGAAGGAGGAAGGCUCUCUGGUUGUAAACCUCUUUUUAUGGGGAAGAGCAGCACACUGCAUCUCUUGAAUAAGCCACGGCUAACUACGUGCCAGCAGCCGCGGUAAUACGUAGGUGGCAAGCGUUGUCCGGAUUUACUGGGUGUAAAGGGUGUGUAGCCGGAGAGAGAAGUCAGAUGUGAAAUCCACGGGCUCAACCCGGGAACUGCAUUUGAUACUGUUGCCCUUGAGUGUAGGAGAGGUAGGCGGAAUGCCUGGUGUAGCGGUGAAAUGCAUAGAGAUAAGAAAGAACACCGGUGGCGAAGGCAGAUUACUGGACGAUGACUGACGGUGAGGCGCGAAAGCGUGGGGAGCAAACAGGAUUAGAUACCCUUGUAGUC